UACAAGGGGGCUAGCGUUGCUCGGAAUCACUGGGCGUAAAGGGUGCGUAGGCGGGUCUUUAAGUCGGGGGUGAAAUCCUGGAGCUCAACUCCAGAACUGCCUUUGAUACUGAGGAUCUUGAGUCCGGAAGAGGUGAGUGGAACUGCGAGUGUAGAGGUGAAAUUCGUAGAUAUUCGCAAGAACACCAGUGGCGAAGGCGGCUCACUGGUCCGGUACUGACGCUGAGGCACGAAAGCGUGGGGAGCAAACAGGAUUAGAUACCCUGGUAGUCAAGGGCG
rnacentral:rRNA from 1 species